GUGCCAGCAGCCGCGGUAAUACUGGCAGCUCAAGUGAUGGCCGAUCUUAUUGGGCCUAAAGCGUCCGUAGCUGGCCUCGCAAGUCCGUCGGGAAAUCCAUCCGCCCAACUGAUGGGCGUCCGGCGGAAACUACAAGGCUUGGGACCGGAAGGCUCGAGGGGUACGUCCGGGGUAGGAGUGAAAUCCUGUAAUCCCGCACGGACCACCGAUGGCGAAAGCACCUCGAGAAGACGGCUCCGACGGUGAGGGACGAAAGCCAGGGUCUCGAACCGGAUUAGAUACCCGAGUAGUCC
rnacentral:rRNA from 1 species